GACGAACGCUGGCGGCGUGCUUAACACAUGCAAGUCGAACGGAAAGGCCCCUUUGGGGGUACUCGAGUGGCGAACGGGUGAGUAACACGUGAGUAACCUGCCCUUGACUUCGGGAUAACUUCAGGAAACUGGGGCUAAUACCGGAUAGGAAUCCUUGCUGCAUGGUGGGGGUUGGAAAGCUUCGGCGGUUUUGGAUGGACUCGCGGCUUAUCAGCUUGUUGGUGGGGUAGUGGCUUACCAAGGCUUUGACGGGUAGCCGGCCUGAGAGGGCGACCGGCCACAUUGGGACUGAGAGACGGCCCAGACUCCUACGGGAGGCAGCAGUGGGGAAUAUUGCACCAUGGGCGGAAGCCUGAUGCAGCAACGCCGCGUGCGGGAUGACGGCUUUAGGGUUGUAAACCGCUUUCAGCAGGGGCGAAGCUUGUGGUGACGGUACCUGCAGAAGAAGCACCGGCUAACUACGUG
rnacentral:rRNA from 1 species